rnacentral:tRNA from 1 species
GGCCAAUGAGCUUGGUAAAGCUUAUAUUUUGAAAAUAUAAGAAAGAGGUAAAGCCCUCUAUUGGCUU